AUUGAACGCUGGCGGCAGGCCUAACACAUGCAAGUCGAACGAGUGGCGGACGGGUGAGUAAUGUCUGGGAAACUGCCUGAUGGAGGGGGAUAACUACUGGAAACGGUAGCUAAUACCGCAUACCAUCAGAUGUGCCCAGAUGGGAUUAGCUUGUUGGGGGGGUACCGGCUCACCAAGGCGAAGAUCCCUAGAUGAUCUGAGAGGAUGACCAGCCACACGGGAACGUAGACACGGUCCAGACUCCUACGGGAGGAAGCAGGGGGGAAUAUUGCACAAUGGGGGCGAGCCUGAUGCAGCCAUGCCGCGUGUAUGAAGAAGGCCUUCGGGUUGUAAAGUACUUUCAGCGGGGAGGCGUUACCCGCAGAAGAAGCACCGGCUAACUCCGUGCCAGCAGCCGCGGUAAUUC
rnacentral:rRNA from 1 species